CGGUGGAUCAUGACAAUCCAGAGGAAUAUGACGUGACCCACCGGUGGGUGAUCACACACAGGAAUAGAGAAUCCUAAAAGUGCUACCACAGUGAACAUGUUGCAAUCAGCAGGUGCCAG
rnacentral:lncRNA from 1 species